rnacentral:rRNA from 1 species
GACGGAGGAUGCAAGCGUUAUCCGGAAUGAUUGGGCGUAAAGCGUCUGCAGGUGGCAGUUCAAGUCUGCUGUCAAAGACCGGGGCUUAACUUCGGAAAGGCAGUGGAAACUGAACAGCUAGAGUAUGGUAGGGGCAGAGGGAAUUCCUGGUGUAGCGGUGAAAUGCGUAGAGAUCAGGAAGAACAUCGGUGGCGAAGGCGCUCUGCUGGGCUGUUGCUGACGCUGAGGCGCGACAGCGUGGGGAGCAAACAGG